GCAAGUCGAGCGGGGAAAGGUAGCUUGCUACCUAACCUAGCGGCGGACGGGUGAGUAAUGCUUAGGAAUCUGCCUAUUAGUGGGGGACAACAUUCCGAAAGGAAUGCUAAUACCGCAUACGCCCUACGGGGGAAAGCAGGGGAUCUUCGGACCUUGCGCUAAUAGAUGAGCCUAAGUCAGAUUAGCUAGUUGGUGGGGUAAAGGCCUACCAAGGCGACGAUCUGUAGCGGGUCUGAGAGGAUGAUCCGCCACACUGGGACUGAGACACGGCCCAGACUCCUACGGGAGGCAGCAGUGGGGAAUAUUGGACAAUGGGCGAAAGCCUGAUCCAGCCAUGCCGCGUGUGUGAAGAAGGCCUUUUGGUUGUAAAGCACUUUAAGCGAGGAGGAGGCUACUUGGAUUAAUACUCUAGGAUAGUGGACGUUACUCGCAGAAUAAGCACCGGCUAACUCUGUGCCAGCAGCCGCGGUAAUACAGAGGGUGCGAGCGUUAAUCGGAUUUACUGGGCGUAAAGCGUGCGUAGGCGGCUUUUUAAGUCGGAUGUGAAAUCCCUGAGCUUAACUUAGGAAUUGCAUUCGAUACUGGGAAGCUAGAGUAUGGGAGAGGAUGGUAGAGUUCCAGGUGUAGCGGUGAAAUGCGUAGAGAUCUGGAGGAAUACCGAUGGCGAAGGCAGCCAUCUGGCCUAAUACUGACGCUGAGGUACGAAAGCAUGGGGAGCAAACAGGAUUAGAUACCCUGGUAGUCCAUGCCGUAAACGAUG
rnacentral:rRNA from 1 species